CGGAGGGUGCAAGCGUUAUCCGGAUUCACUGGGUUUAAAGGGUGCGUAGGCGGGCAGGUAAGUCCGUGGUGAAAUCCCUGAGCUUAACUCAGAAACUGCCAUGGAUACUAUUUGUCUUGAAUAUUGUGGAGGUAAGCGGAAUAUGUCAUGUAGCGGUGAAAUGCUUAGAUAUGACAUAGAACACCAAUUGCGAAGGCAGCUUACUACACAGUUAUUGACGCUGAGGCACGAAAGCGUGGGGAUCAAACAGGAUUAGAUACCCUGGUAGUCCACGCCCUAAACGAUGAUUACUCGACAUCAGCGAUACACUGUUGGUGUCUGAGCGAAAGCAUUAAGUAAUCCACCUGGGAAGUACGAUCGCAAGAUUG
rnacentral:rRNA from 1 species